rnacentral:lncRNA from 1 species
UGAGAUAGCUGCUUCAGAGUCUCCUCAGAGCUAGCUUAAGGUGACUAGAAUAAAUCCUUAUGUUUUUAAGUAAAUAAAGUUUUAGCAUAAACCAUGCAUCAUGAAUGCCAUGAGAUAUACUAGGUUGUAUGCACUAGAAUUCACGAAUAUGUUGCAUUGCACAAUAUGAUGUUGAUGUGGAUGGAUGUUGGAUGACCCUUUAGUCCUCGUAUGAUAUGAUAUGAUGAUGAUACGGUAUGGAAGACCAGUG